AGGAAUGUAGCUUAGUGGUAAAGUGCUUGCCUAGCAUGCAUGAGGCCCUGGAUUCAACUCCCAGUAGUACAA
rnacentral:tRNA from 1 species